UGGGGAAUAUUGCACAAUGGGCGAAAGCCUGAUGCAGCAACGCCGCGUGAGUGAUGAAGGCCUUCGGGUUGUAAAGCUCUGUCUUUUGGGACGAUAAUGACGGUACCAAAGGAGGAAGCCACGGCUAACUACGUGCCAGCAGCCGCGGUAAUACGUAGGUGGCAAGCGUUGUCCGGAUUUACUGGGCGUAAAGGAUGCGUAGGCGGAUUUUUAAGUGAGAUGUGAAAACCCUAAGCUUAACUUGGGGACUGCAUUUCAUACUGGAAAUCUAGAGUGCGGGAGAGGAGAAUGGAAUUCCUAGUGUAGCGGUGAAAUGCGUAGAGAUUAGGAAGAACACCAGUGGCGAAGGCGAUUCUCUGGACCGUAACUGACGCUGAGGCAUGAAAGCGUGGGUAGCAAAACAGGAUUAGAUACCCUGGUAGUCCACGCCGUAAAACGAUGAGUACUAGGUGUAGGAGGUAUCGACCCCUUCUGUGCCGCAGUUAACACAAUAAGUACUCCGCCUGGGAAGUACGAUCGCAAGAUUAAAACUCAAAUGAAUUGACGGGGUCAUAGCUGUUUCCU
rnacentral:rRNA from 1 species